AAUCAACGCUGGCGGCGUGCCUCAGACAUGCAAGUCGAACGCGAAAGUCCCCUUCGGGGGACGAAGUAGAGUGGCGCACGGGUGAGUAACACGUAGGUAAUCUACCUUCGGAUGGGAAGUAACAAUCGGAAACGGUUAGGCUAAUACCGCAUAAUGCAGCGGCGACCUAAUGGUGACAGUUGUUAAGUACGGGGAGUCGAAAGACCUCGCGUCUGAAGAGGAGCCUGCGGCGGAUUAGCUAGUU
rnacentral:rRNA from 1 species